AUGUUAUUUUUUUUCCCCCUUCUAAGCACUUCCAAGAACUUCUUGAUUGUCGUUUAUGGAUUCUUCAUGAAAUUCGGGUUUGUUGGCUUGGAUGGACCAAGUGUCGGUUUCACUGGAAAAACUCUGAUGGUGUCUGAUGAAUGGCACAGAGGAUUGGCCAUAGAUGUGCCUUGCUGCUUUUCAAAAAGGGUUGUGGCCUGAAUUUUUUUGUUGUGUGUGUGUUUUGUGUGUGUGUUUGUUUCUGGCUGUUGACCGGGGGUGGUCACUGAUUGCCAUGAUAACAAUAGCUGGUAAGUUAACAUCAACUAAAUUGUCUAGAAAAAAACCUUUAACUUAAACAUAGAGUAUACAUUUUGUUAGGAGUGUUAAUUGAUUCAUCGUGAUGCGGACGUGGACGAUUCUGCAUCAAUGCAGUAAUAGACCAUAAUCAAUUAUUGCCUACGACAGGCAUCAAUGCUAGUAAUAGACCAUAAUCAAUAUUGCCUACGACAGCGCUUCCACUCGCUGUUAUUUUAGUCUAUUUUAGUCUGUUAUUUACUUUAGAUAUGCCUUCAUUUCUGCUGUUUAGAAUGCAGUACGUAUUCGAUGCACAAAACUCACGCACUGACAGACAUUCACAUGUGCUUUGUGUUUGUUUGUCCUGAAGCUCGCGGCUGUAGUUAAAUGCACUUGCAUCUACUUUUAUGAUACAAAAUUAAUGUAAACGGUCAGUUAUGUUUUCAGAACAGGACAAAGCAUCUGAUAUGUGGAAAUGGAUCUGUGCAUUAGUGUGAAUGCAGGCAAUAAUGCUGAUUAAAAAGAAAAGCCCAUAACUAUGAUUAUCUGUAAACUUUCAAUACUUAAAGCACUCCCAGAUACUGAAAGUGAUUUUUGUUUAUCACUUGUAGUUGUCUUUCCCCCUUUAUUACUUUAUAUUUGCCUGUAUGCCAAAUUAAAUCAUAAAAUCAUUUCACACCCAUAACAUUUUGUAUUUUGCCUCUUUAAUGUAAGUUAGUUUAGCUGGAGGAUUAAGUGAUUCUUGGAUUCUUAACUGCA
rnacentral:lncRNA from 1 species